UGGGGAAUAUUGGACAAUGGGCGCAAGCCUGAUCCAGCCAUGCCGCGUGUGUGAAGAAGGCCUUAGGGUUGUAAAGCACUUUCAGUGGGGAGAAAGGUUAUUCACCUAAUACGUGAGUAAAUUGAUGUUACCCACAGAAGAAGCACCGGCUAACUCCGUGCCAGCAGCCGCGGUAAUACGGAGGGUGCAAGCGUUAAUCGGAAUUACUGGGCGUAAAGCGUACGUAGGUGGUUUGUUAAGCCAGCUGUGAAAUCCCCGGGCUCAACCUGGGCACUGCAGUUGGAAGUGGCAAGCUAGAGUAGGGUAGAGGGGUGUGGAAUUCCAGGUGUAGCGGUGAAAUGCGUAGAUAUCUGGAGGAACAUCAGUGGCGAAGGCGACACCCUGGACUCAUACUGACACUGAGGUACGAAAGCGUGGGGAGCAA
rnacentral:rRNA from 1 species